rnacentral:rRNA from 1 species
CCUACGGGAGGCUGCAGUGGGGAAUAUUGCACAAUGGGGGGAACCCUGAUGCAGCCACGCCGCGUGAGUGAAGAAGUAUUUCGGUAUGUAAAGCUCUAUCAGCAGGGAAGAAAAUGACGGUACCUGACUAAGAAGCCCCGGCGAACUACGUGCCGCCAGCCGCAGUAAUACGUCGGGGGCAAGCGUUAUACGGAUUUACUGGGUGUAACUGUAGCGCAGGCGGCUGUGCAAGUCUGGAGUGAAGUGCGGGGGCCCAACCCCCGGCCUGCUCUGGAAACUGUAAAUCUGGAGUGACGGAGAGGUAAGCGGAAUUCGUAGUGUAGCGGUGAAAUGCGUAGAUAUUAGGAGGAACACCAGUGGCGAAGGCGGCUUACUGGAGUGCAACUGACGUUGAGGCUCGAAAGCGUGGGGAGCGAACAGGAUUAGAUACCCGAGUAGUC